UGGGUAACCUGCCUCAAAGAGGGGAAUAGCCUCCCGAAAGGGAGAUUAAUACCGCAUAAUAUGUUUAGGUCGCAUGACUUUAACAUCAAAGGAUUUUUCUUUUAAGAAAUUCCACUUUGAGAUGGACCCCGCGGCGCAUUAGCUAGUUGGUGAGGUAACGGCUCACCAAGGCAACGAUGCGUAGCCGACCUGAGAGGGUGAUCGGCCACAUUGGAACUGAGACACGGUCCAGACUCCGUAGGGAGG
rnacentral:rRNA from 1 species